GUGUUAGUCAAACAGUCGUAAAUCUACGAUGGUGUUUUGAAGUGGUGCUUACAAUCUGUUGUUGUGAUCCGGGUGCUUUGGUUUCUGUUUGAGGUGACCAGAAGCAUCAAUACAGAAUAUGGCCAGGGAUUUCGUGAUCAAAGGGAUGACAAUCCUGCCCCCUUAAUGCCCCAAAUACUGAUGGCAUAAACCCAGGUCAAUGUGUGUAUUGAAGAUAACUACAUAGAAAGUGGGGAUGAUCUUGUAGCCAUCAAGAGUGGUUGGGAUCAAUAUGGAAUCAACAUGGCUAAGCCUAGCACAAACACCAUAGUGAGAAAAAAUUUAGGCACUGCCCCAACUUGCUCUGGAGUAGGAAUAGGCAGUGAAUGUCUGGUGGAAUUUCAAAUAUUAUAAUAAAAAAUUUGCACUUGUGAAACUUUGCAGUGGUGUUUCUUUAAAAUCUGAAAAUGAUGGAGAGGGGUAUCUAACAAAUGUGAGUAUAGGUAAUAUAAGAAUGGGGAGGAUGAAGAUACCAAUUAGGUUCAGUAGAGGUUCGAAUGAGUAUCCUGAUGAUGGGUAGAAUUCAAAAGUUUUUCCUAGAUUUAAAAAUGUUUUAAUCAGCAAUGUGGUCGAUGUAAAUUCAACAAAAAGCUCCGGUUCUGGAAGUUGUAGUAGGCUCAUCAUUUGAAGGCUUGUGCUUCAAGAAUAUUACUCUUCUUGGUGUAGCCUUAUCUACAACAUGACGUUGUGACUAUAUUAAGUGGAGUUGCACCAUAGCUUUAGAGGUUUAACCAAUGAA